GAUGAACGCUAGCUACAUGCUUAACACAUGCAAGUCGAGGGACCGGCGCACGGGUGAGUAACACGUAUCCAUCCCGCCUUUUACUCGGUGCUAGCCUUUCGAAAGAAAGAUUACCACCCGCUGUAAUGGCCGGGUAUGCGUUCCAUUAGGUUGUUGGUGAGGUAACGGCUCACCAACCCUUCGAUGGAUAGGGGUUCUGAGAGGAAGGUCCCCCACAUUGGAACUGAGACACGGUCCAAACUCCUACGGGAGGCAGCAGUGAGGAAUAUUGGUCAAUGGGCGUUAGCCUGAACCAGCCAAGUAGCGUGAAGGAUGAAGGCUUAUGGGUCGUAAACUUCUUUUAUAUAAGAAUAUGUAUUAUAUGAAUAAGGAUCGGCUAACUCCGUGCCAGCAGCCGCGGUAAUAC
rnacentral:rRNA from 1 species